UGGGUCUAAUACCGGAUACGACCUUCGGCUGCAUGGCUGGGGGUGGAAAGGUUUACUGGUGCAGGAUGGGCCCGCGGCCUAUCAGCUUGUUGGUGGGGUAAUGGCCUACCAAGGCGACGACGGGUAGCCGACCUGAGAGGGUGACCGGCCACACUGGGACUGAGACACGGCCCAGACUCCUACGGGAGGCAGCAGUGGGGAAUAUUGCACAAUGGGCGAAAGCCUGAUGCAGCGACGCCGCGUGAGGGAUGAAGGCCUUCGGGUUGUAAACCUCUUUCAGCAGGGACGAAGCGAAAGUGACGGUACCUGCAGAAGAAGCACCGGCUAACUACGUGCCAGCAGCCGCGGUAAUACGUAGGGUGCAAGCGUUGUCCGGAAUUACUGGGCGUAAAGAGUUCGUAGGCGGUUUGUCGCGUCGUUUGUGAAAACUCACAGCUCAACUGUGAGCUUGCAGGCGAUACGGGCAGACUUGAGUACUGCAGGGGAGACUGGAAUUCCUGGUGUAGCGGUGAAAUGCGCAGAUAUCAGGAGGAACACCGGUGGC
rnacentral:rRNA from 1 species